rnacentral:rRNA from 1 species
AUUGAACGCUGGCGGCAUGCCUUACACAUGCCAGUCGAACGGCAGCACGGGUGCUUGCACCUGGUGGCGAGUGGCGAACGGGUGAGUAAUACAUCGGAACAUGUCCUGUAGUGGGGGAUAGCCCGGCGAAAGCCGGAUUAAUACCGCAUACGAUCUACGGAUGAAAGCGGGGGACCUUCGGGCCUCGCGCUAUAGGGUUGGCCGAUGGCUGAUUAGCUAGUUGGUGGGGUAAAGGCCUACCAAGGCGACGAUCAGUAGCUGGUCUGAGAGGACGACCAGCCACACUAGGACUGAGACACGGCCCAGACUCCUACGGGAGGCAGCAGUGGGGAAUUUUGGACAAUGGGCGAAAGCCUGAUCCAGCAAUGCCGCGUGUGUGAAGAAGGCCUUCGGGUUGUAAAGCACUUUUGUCCGGAAAGAAAUCCUUGGCCCUAAUACGGUCGGGGGAUGACGGUACCGGAAGAAUAAGCACCGGCUAACUACGUG